rnacentral:lncRNA from 1 species
UUUUUCCCAAUUUUUUUUUUCAAUUUCCAUCAAAACUGCUCCCGUUCUUGAUUCCAAACCCUAACCGUGUCAUUUCAUUCCACAACUUCUUUCCAGAGAAAGAAACUGCAGAUUCCUUUUUGCAGUGAAGAUGCAUAAACCAUAGACGAACAACAUGCUUGUUCUUUACAAUAUGGAAUCCGGACAACAUGCUCGCGAAAUCCCCACUUAAUCCGACCACAUUAAGCUCCAAUCCGUCAAGGAAAAGUAAAUUGAUUAUUCAAGUUCGUAGAAAAGUUUGGUACAAGUGUUGAAGUAUCCAUAAUGGUAAUUAGAUUAUGAAAUUUUUAUUUAUUUUAUUUUGUAAACUUCUAUUUUCUAAAUUCUAAUGAACAUGAUAUUUGUUAUAAUAACAUUGUUAACAAUAUAUUGCACCAAAGGUCUCCCUAACGUUUUCAUUGGAUUCAGAUGCAACAAAAAAGAAACAAUGUAGGGCAUCAAAUGACCAUUGGUGACUAAUUGAAAAAAAGCAAAGUAAGGUAUCAGAAACAAAAUACAAAAAAGCUAAAAAGUAGCAAAGGGGGAUCAAAGAAUUGAUUGGUUCUUGUUGACGAGGAUGAUGGGAUAUUUCAAGGUAUCAGUUUGUGAGAUUUUAAGGUACGUAUGUAUAGUGAUUUAAGUAUGUCUGUUUGUUGUUUCAAUAUUUUUGUUAUUGCUAUUUGUUGAUGGUAUUUUAUUUCAUAUGGCAAGAUAAUUGUUACUUUAGGCUGGUAUAGGAAACUGUUGUAAAUGAGAGAAUACUUGAUUCCUAUUUGUAUGGCUUGGUUUUAAUAAGCGAAAAGCGCACCGACGCGACAAGGUCUAAAGCAAGGCGCAAAGUGCAAAGGGGUGCGCUUUUUAUACAUGAGGCACUCUCUAUAUAUAUAGGAAAAAAUGUCCCUUUUACACUAAUCUUACCCUAUAUAUAUAUGUAUUUCGUAAGCUUUUAGCAUUCCCUAACCAAAAUACAACAAUAAAUAAGGUUUAUAUAUGUUUUAAUAUAUAAAUUAUCUAAAUGUACAACCUAAAAAGCCUAGUGUACAACAUCCUGCUGCACAAAAAAGAUGAUGUACAUGAGGCGCGUGCGCCUCACUUGAAGCGAUGCCCUUUGCGCCUUAGGGAGCCUUGCGUCUAGGCGUGUUUUUUUAAAACCAAUUAACCAAGUUGUAUGGUUAAUCCUAUAUCAGGAAAAAGGCAGCCCCAUCAUAAGAAAAAAAACAUUGUUGAAUUUAAUCCUACAAGUAUAUGUAAAUUGGGUGUUUGUUGGAAUUUAGAUACACUUCAAUUUUGUGCUACCUUAAUAUGGAUUUAACUUAUUUUUGUAUGUAUGUGUGUUUAUAUUAGCCAUAUUAAUAUUAUGACCCUAGUUUUCAAUUAGAAAUAUUUUAACUUUUCUCUUUAGUAGAUUUGAAUAGACUUUUCCUUUGCCUGCUUUUCAGAAUUUGACCAAAGGUAUUUAGUUAAAAUUAUUUAAUUAUCGGCUUGAAAUAUUAACAUGGAGUAGAUCCACAUCGAAGUAAUACAAAGGGGUUUACAUAAGUAGGCUACUCUUUUAGUCCUUUAAGGGUGAAUCGAUAUAGCAAAUAAUUCUAAGGAACUAAACAUUGUAGCCUAAUAAAUAUGUGAAAUAUUCCAAUAGAGAUGACCCCAAAUAUAAAUAUAAGAAUAAUGCCAACAGACUGCCCCAACUAAAAUGUAAACACACUAGUCUAAUGAAUCUGGUUCAAUAGUGCAUCACUUUCUUAAGACAUACCUUGAUGAUAUAAGAAGAGCAGGCAUUAGGAUCUCACUUUGGUUGACCCAUUUACAAAAUAAGUGAAGACUGCACCUCAGAAACACAAAAGACAAAAUCCAUCUAUACAUAUAAUCAAGUGCGCAUGGUUAACACAACAAUUAAUAGUCGUAGGUGGAAACUAUGAUCCUACAAUAUUUAUUUGAUUGAUAAGCAAUCUGCACAUAAUGUUCAUGUCACUGUAAUUGGCAAUCAAGUAAAGGUUGUAAGGUGGGUUGAUCAAGCGGUUUGGGUAACAGGCCAAAACAAGUAUUUUUUAACAUAGGGUAACACAUACUCGGUCAAUUUUUUAAUAUAGGUUAAAACAUACUAGAUCAGGUUGAGCUAUGGGUGUUAAUUGGGUAUCGGGUUCUUCGGGUUGGUUCCUCGUUUUUUUUACAUAGGAAAUCAACUCGAAUACUGAACAAACUAAGUAAUAUGUAAUUCGGUUUCGGGUUUGUUCGAGUCGGGCAGAUUGGCUGCUUUUUCAACAAGAAAUUUUAUGUAUAUGGUUGUUGGCUUAUUGGUUGUUUUCAACAGUCAUCUUGUGGUAUUGUGGUAUUGCUGAAAUAUAUUGGUUAAUUGAUUGUUAUUUUUCGUAAUGUGUUUUCUUUUUCUCUUUUGAAGACAAAAUAAAUGACAAACUACAAACCUUCAAGCGGGAGCCUUGAAAUUGAAAAACACAUAGUUGCUUGAAAUGUGAAAAGAAAAUGAAGACUACCAGCAAAGGAAAAAAUCUGAGCUAGAAACUAGGCGGAAAAAUUUUCACAGCCAACAUGCAAACUCUGAAGCUACGAUACGUCAUACUGUGAAAAACUACGUAUUAGAGUACUUUGGAAUCUUAGAGAUGAGUAGAGGUUUUCGUUACUUUUAUUCAUUGUAAUUGACAGCUAUAUUUUAAUUACAUUGUUACUUUGAGGUUGGAUGUAUGUUUAAAUUAUGAUAUAAGAUUAUUUAUUAUAUUUAUGUUAUUAUUGUAUUGGUGUAAUUGAGAUUCCAUUCCAUAUAAAUAGAAAUUUUAGUAGU